UAAAGUUUAAUAAAUUAUUUUGAAAAUAAUAUCUGGAGCAACGGCUUCAACUUUAA
rnacentral:tRNA from 1 species